UGCAAGUCGAGGGGUAACAGGAGAAAGCUUGCUUUCUUGCUGACGACCGGCGCACGGGUGCGUAACGCGUAUGCAACCUACCUCUUACUGGGGCAUAGCCCAGAGAAAUUUGGAUUAAUUCCCCAUAGUACCACGAAGUCGCAUGGUUUUGUGGUUAAAGGUUACGGUAAGAGAUGGGCAUGCGUCCCAUUAGCUAGUUGGUGAGGUAAUAGCUCACCAAGGCAUCGAUGGGUAGGGGUUCUGAGAGGAUGAUCCCCCACACUGGUACUGAGACACGGACCAGACUCCUACGGGAGGCAGCAGUGAGGAAUAUUGCGCAAUGGACGAAAGUCUGACGCAGCCAUGCCGCGUGCAGGAUGACGGCGCUACGUGUUGUAAACUUCUUUUAUACAGGAAGAAACCUUUCCACGUGUGGAAAGCUGACGGUACUGUAAGAAUAAGGAUCGGCUAACUCCGUGCCAGCAGCCGCGGUAAUACGGAGGAUCCAAGCGUUAUCCGGAAUUAUUGGGUUUAAAGGGUCCGCAGGCUGUUUGUUAAGUCAGAGGUGAAAGCCUACCGCUCAACGGUAGAACUGCCUUUGAUACUGACAGACUUGAGUUAUUGUGAAGUAGUUAGAAUGUGUAGUGUAGCGGUGAAAUGCAUAGAUAUUACGCAGAAUACCAAUUGCGAAAGCAGAUUACUAACAAUAUACUGACGCUGAGGGACGAAAGCGUGGGUAGCGAACAGGAUUAGAUACCCUGGUAGUCCACGCCGUAAACGAUGGUCACUAGCUGUUCGAUGUACAUUGGUACGUUGAGUGGCUAAGCGAAAGUGAUAAGUGACCCACCUGGGGAGUACGCUCGCAAGAGUGAAACUCCAAAGGAAUUGACGGGGGCCCGCACAAGCGGUGGAGCAUGUGGUUUAAUUCGAUGAUACGCGAGGAACCUUACCAGGACUUAAAUGUAAGUUGCAUGAUUCAGAAAUG
rnacentral:rRNA from 1 species